rnacentral:lncRNA from 1 species
UGAGAUUGUUCGUCAACAUCAACGGUGAAUUUAAUGGAAACAGACAGUGGAUAUCAGUGCCGUUUACUCAUCCAGCAACAUUUGACACUGUCGUAAUGGAACAGGAUGUGAAGAACAAAGUCAAAGCUGAUUUGGAAACGUUCCUGAAAUCAAAGCAGCAUUAUAAUAGAAUCGGCCGGAUUUGGAAGCGGAAUUAUUUACUAUACGGACCUUCUGGGACAGGAAAAUCAACAUUCAUUUCCGCAAUUGCAAAUUUCCUAAGCUACGAUGUGUACAACAUUGAUUUGUCAAAAGUUACUGACAGCUCCGAUCUGAAAUUACUUCUAUUGCAGAGCAC